GGACAUUGUGUCAGAUUACCAGUUAUAGGAACAAUUCUCUUUUCCUGACCAAUCUCCUUUUACCCUUAUACAUCCACAGGGUUUUGACACUUGUUGUCCAGUUGAAAAAAGGUUGUGUAGCUAUGUUAUGUAUAUACCUUUUUGUGUCAAAAGGACAUUUAAAAUUCAAUUAGGAUAAAUAAAAAUGGCACUUUCCCAUUUUA